GUCAGCUUGUGUGGACAGAUGGAUCUCCUUAUCUUCUAAAGGCUGAUUUCUCAACCUUGUCAAUGAUACCGGAAAAUGAAACUGACUGCUAUGCCCUUCAGAGAGAUCCCACUGGUCCAGGCUAUUUCUUCACAGGAUUUUUCUGCUACAUACCACUGCCAUAUAUUUGUGAAUAUGAAUUACCUCUGAUACCAGAAAACUUCACAUUUAGUGUGCAUGAUGUCACGACAACAGAAGCUGUAUUUAUGUGGAGUGAUAUGGACAUGUGGCAUAAGUCAGACUUUGCACUUGUAAUGAAAUACUAUUUUGAUCAGAGUAAACCAUGCAUUAUGAACUUGCCUGUGAAUACAACUCAAACAAAAA